rnacentral:rRNA from 1 species
ACGCUCGACACCUACGGGAAGGCAGCAGUAGGGAAUCUUCCACAAUGGGCGCAAGCCUGAUGGAGCAACACCGCGUGAGUGAAGAAGGGUUUCGGCUCGUAAAGCUCUGUUGUUGGAGAAGAACGUGCGUGAGAGUAACUGUUCACGCAGUGACGGUAUCCAACCAGAAAGUCACGGCUAACUACGUGCUAGCAGCCGCGGUAAUCUGAGCGGGCUGGCAAGGC